CGAUAGAGAGGCACAAUUUCUGGUGAAGUACGGUUCCUCCGACCAAGAACCCAUCGGAUUUGGUCUGUGACGAUGCUGGAGUAUUAGGUUGGUGCUCUCCGUUCUUCUGCUUUCUAGGUCUAGCCAUUGAAGAAACUAGGGUUUCAAUCUCCAGUCCCAGAAAAACACCUUAUAAAGAAGAGAAUAGGAUGUAGUAGGGGGGUUUCCUCCGACUUCCGGCGAUAGUGGAAUCUAGAGUUCGAUGGCAGUCCAAAAUUGCAUCGAUUGAUAGAAGUAAAAAGAAGAUUUUAUAACCAACCGGCUACCACCUACCAGGCCACCAUGGUACGAUAAAUCUGGAUGGGAUCCUAUUUUUCAAAAGUCAAGGGACCUCAUUUAAAACAAAAUAAACGAAAAUUUGGACUGAAAAUUGAAAUCCAAAGACCAGAAGUAAUGUGAAAUUAGUUCUGCAAAUAAAU
rnacentral:lncRNA from 1 species